rnacentral:lncRNA from 1 species
CUCCAGCCCAAGCCGCUGAAACCACCUCCCUCACCCCAGCCUGAGGCCCCGGUCCUUCUGGUAGGAACAAUACCCCAUUAGCCUGCUGCAGGCCACGAGUCCCAGUGGCCUACGCCAAGGCGGUUGAAACGCUCUUGAGGGAUCCACCCUUAACCAAGCACAGGGCCAGCCUCCUGCAGAGAGCCCUCUUCAGCACCCUAGUGGAAGCCAGUACCCUCCCGGUCCCCCCAGGAAGCACAGCGUGCUGUUGUGGGUUGAACUGGGUCCCCAAAUAUUGUGGUGACGUCCCAGCCUCCAGACCCUGCAAAGGUGUCCUCACCUGGAAAUCAGGUCUUUGCAGGUGAAGUCCUGUUAGGCUGAGACGCCCACCAGAGAGGACGGGCCUCCCUCCAGCAUGACCGCGGUCCUCGGGAGAGGAGGACACGAGACACGGGGCAGGCGCACAGGGAGAGGCUACGUGCAGGUGUGGACAGAGUGGAGGCCAGCCUCCACCAGCCACACAGCGCGAGGACUGCUCCAAGCCGCCUGCAGGCCCCGAGACUGGAGCAGGGGUCCUCGGAGCUCCGGAGGCUCCACCUGCCCACACCUGGAGUUGGACUUCUGACCCAGAACCAGGAGGGAAAUAUUUCCAUCGUUUCAUGCACCAGUUGGGGGUGCUUUGUCAGGAACCCCCUCACCGGGAGGCCACCGGGUCUGAUCCCAGCCCUGCUGUGCUCAGGUGCCUGACUAAACACCUCCCGAGCCCGUCUGCAGAGACGCUCAGGGAUGAGGCAAGUCUUAACACGCGGCACCUGAACCAGGUUGGGCAAGUCAGCCGUGAAAGACGGGAAAUAAAUUACAUGAACCCGGAAGGACUCUAACUCAGAUGGUUUAUGUAUGACUUCAACUUUCCAAUCCACCUCCAAGAAACCAGACCAGAAAUCCAAGACUAAGUGAUAAAGGUGUGGUUUACGAGGGGAGUCAGCAUGUAAGAGCAGGGCCUGGGGUCUGACAGAAGGGUUUGUCCCUCACUCUACAGUGACAAAGUAACAUGACACUACGUGUUUCAUCUUAAAAUGAAAACAUUUAUGGACCUGGGUCACGUCAUGGUAUGGAUACGAGGGGCCCCCGACAGCUCAUGUGUGAGACGUGCGAACGCGGUCAGAGAUUAAAUGACCAGAUCACAAGAACUGACCCCAUCAGUGGGUGAUCCCCUGGGUGGAGGUCCAGGUGGUGACUGUUGACAGGCAGGGUGGGACUGGGGGUGGGUCACUGGGGGGUGACAUUGGGGUUUACAUUUUGUCCCUGCUGCCUGGUGCCAGGUUCUGAGCUGCUUUCCCGCACCCUGCCCUCCACCAGCUUCAUCUUGGGCCCAGGCCACGGGGGGCCCUGCCAUCGACGGAGCCUCUGAAACCCCAGGUUUCAGACCUCUCCUCCUCUAAGUUGUUUUCUCGGGUCUCGUGGACCCAGUGGCGGAAAGCAGCCAACAUCUACAGCCACUUCGUGGUUCCCAUGUUCCCAGCGUCCACUUAGCUGGUGAGGCCUGGCAGGGGUCCGCGGCUCCUCCCUCUUCCCCGAAGGCUGGCCGCGCUUUGAGCGAACAGAAGAGCAGGGAGCACCUCAGAGCUUCGGGUCUGUGUUCGGCCAUCGUCCACCCCCCUCACCCGCCCUCCAGUCCCACGUCCUCCGACCGGCCGUUGGUCUGCUGUUUGGCUGGAUCCUAGGCACUCUUCAGAAGGGUCCGGGAAUCCGUGGAGUUCCAGAAGAUCCCACAGGUCCUGUCUCUGAUUCUCGUUCAACCGGAGGAAUGCGUUCUAACCAUCCCAGACUGAAAGUCUGGCCAGAGUCGGGGCUAGAACCCGGGCACCUCGCUGUAGUGCCCUCCUGCCUGUGGGUCAGGUCCUCCCUGCCACCCCUAGUCAGCUGCUCUGUCCUUGGUCUCAUGGCCACCAGCCAGGCCAGGCG